rnacentral:rRNA from 1 species
AUGGUUUCUUGUUUUAAUUAAGAAAUUUAACCUGCUCACUGAAAUUAUUAAAGAGCUGCAGUAUUUUGACUGUACAAAGGUAGCACAAUCAUUAGUCUUUUAAUUGGGGACUGGUAUGAAAGGUUGGACAAGGAGUUAUUAUUUAAGUUUAUAGCUUGAAUUUUUCUUUUGUGUUAAAAGACAUAAUUAUAAAUAAGGGACAAGAAGACCCUUUAAGCUUUAUUUGUAUUUGAUUUUAUUGUUUAUGUUAAUAAAACAAAAUUUUGGAGCCAUUUUUAUCUGGGGCGGAGGGUGUAAUAUAUCUACAUUUUUUAUAAAUUGUACAAAAAGAUCUUAUUUGAUCCUAAAUAAAGGAAUGAAGAAAAAAGUUACUGAAGGGAUAACAGCGUAAUGUUUUUGAGAGUUCUGAUUGAAUAUGAUGUUUGCGA